UUAAAUUACAAUAAUUAAACACAUUGAAUUAAAAUGCUAUUACAUUUGAUAAUAUAGUUAAUGUAAAAGUAGCUUAAAAGGGUGUUUGAUAAUAUAAUUAAGCACUUAAAAUUAUUUUCUUUUAUUUUAAGUAUAUUUGAUAAUGUUUAUUUACACAAAACUUAAAAAUUUUAAUUAAUUUUAACUUAAAAUAAAAAGUCACAUAUAUGAAAUUAAUUUAUUAAGUAUAAUAUUUUAUUUUCAGCAUAUCACAAACAACUUUCCAACACUUCAAAUUAAACUACUAAAUAUUUUCAGUUAUACCAAAUACCACCAAUUUAAAUUUCUUGAUUUUUAGCUCUUCUUAUAACAAAAACUACCGUUCUCUUGAUACAUGCUUAAAUAUGAUAGUUUUUGUUUACAAACAUAUCAAUGUUAUGAUCCUAUAUUGCUAAGAACAAACUUGGUGAUAAGUUGAUAAAUCUCUAGACACUCUUUUCUUACAAGUCAGUUUUCAAUAGUAAGUUCUACUUAGAUGAUCUAUUCUCACGUGGUGUAACUUUAAUGACUUACGAUGCUUAACAGUUCAUAUCAAUUAAUAUAAGAGCCAAUCCCAUCUUGCGAAAACCAACACUUGGAGUUGCGAUCCAUGGAGUGGUGACCCAUGAAGUGGUGACUCAAAGAGUGGUGAACUAUACCCAUUUUGCAAAGACAGGUAUCCAAUGUGUAGAGUGCUAGUCAUGACCAAUAUAACCGUGACCAUUGAGAAUGCUGAUUCUAAUUAAUUUAGAAACCUGCUAUUACAAAUUAUAAAAUUUUUUUGUAAACUAAAACUAAAAUUUAAAAAUUUUGUAAUAAUAAAUUAACAUUAAGGAACAAAUAUAAAAUAGGAAAUAAAAUUAAAGAACAAACUAUAAAAAUUAACCUUCAAAUUUUUGUCAAAAUGUUAAUAACUACUAAAUGAACUACUAAGAGACUAAUUUCGAGAAGCAUUCUCAAUCAAAAAUUUUUCUCCGUAAUGAGUUGAGAUUUGAGAAUAUAAAAUUAGAAUAACUUAUUUUUUAUUUUAUGUAUUUUAUUAUUAUUAAUACUUUUUUCUCUUAAUUUGAAAAUAAAUUAAUUAAAAGUUUUCAAGGCUUGAUUCCGAUGGAUAAUUUAGUAAUUUUGUCUAUUUUUAAUCCAUUUAGCCAUUAAUACUUUGGGAAAAGAUCAAAAUAGCCUCAUUAAAGCUACCAACUAGGGACAUGUUAAUAUAUUUUUUCAAAAUAGAGAGAUGAAAUUGUUAGUAACAAUAAAAUUCAGAGAUAAAACAAUUUAUCAAAAAUUCUCUCUCAUUUAACUUAUUUAGCUGAAGAAAUAUGUUAGAAUAUACAAAAUAAAUGCAUGAAAAGACUAAAGUGUUUGACAUAAUAAAGUAUCAAGGUCUUUUAAUCUAUUUUUUAAAGUAGAAGGACGAAAACGUUAAUAACACCAAAACUCAUUGUAAUUUAUUCUUUUGAAUUUGGUUUGGUUAGGCAACUAGAGAGAGAUAGACAGGGAUUUAGAACUUGAUCAAGAGAAGUUCCUCUUCCUUUUCCUCCCUAUUUUUUUCCAAUCUUUAAGUGCAGGUUCGCCUUGAGUAAAAGCAUCUAAAGGAUGUAUCGCAAUUCGCAUCAAAGCUCCCUCUUCCUUCUCUAUGUAUUUUGAUGACUUCCUAAAUAACUGGAAUCCAAAGCAUUUAUUCAAAGGGAAAAUUAUUUGGUGAACCCUAUAUACUAAAAAGUAAUGCACACAUUUCUCACAAAAAAUUAAUUAUUUCCAAAAUUUAAAAAUGUGAAACCCACAACUCUAUGAGUGAGGGUGCAUCCAGACCGGGAGUAUCUAAUAAUUAGCCUAUUCAAAGUAUUGAGGAUAUUUGAAAUAUUCUUAGACCUACAUAUACCAUUAAGGUUAAAUUAAAGGUAGAAAAUUUGGCUUUCAUUAGAGAAUGUGAAUUUAAAGAUAUUGAGGUUUGAGUGAAACAUAUUUGUUAUUUAUGUAGUUGAAUUUUGGAUAUGUCUUCGGACUUGAUUUGUGACUCAAUUUGAAAAUUUUAUGUUGCGACCCAAUUAGAAUAUUUUGUGAGGUCUAUAAUGGUAAUGGAGAGCAUAAGCCGAUAAUUUUAAGCUCAAAGCCUAUUAUCGAUCUCGUUGGGGUAUAGAUCAGUAUAAAUGUUAUAUUUUCUACCUAUUAUAGUAGUAUUAUGAGAAAUUCAAAAAAUUUACUGAGAUUAAAGUUUGAGAAUUUUCAGUGAUUGUGUCCACCUCUUUUUCCAUCAUAGAGAAAGUUUUCUCUUAUCUUACCCGUGAAUGCAAACCAUAAAGUUUAACACAUAAAUCUUGCAUCUAUUUUUAUUUUAUUUUCUAUAUUGUGUGAUUGUACAAUUAUAUGUAUACCUUAAAUUUGUGUGCCUAUUUUAACAACGAAAAUAACAUUUGCAUUGGAACAUAUAUUUGCCAAUAUUGCAAGAACCUAAAGAAGGUUAGCUUUAUAAAUGCUAGGAAAUAAGUGUGUGAAUAAUACUAGUUAGAGUUUUCUCCCCAAUCACUUUAGGGACAACAAAACUCAUGUUGAAACUACUUUAAACACUAAAACUUCAUUUAUUUUAUGAAAAAUAAUUUAUUAAUAAAAAUAUUUGUCAUUGUUUAAUUUGUCAAAUUAAUGGUAUGCAUUUUAUAUCAUGCAUGUAUAAUAUAUUUUUACAUUUUACUUCUCAUUUUAACCAAGAAAAUAUUUUCGUUAAUCCACUUUUUAAAUGUCUCAAAAAUUAAAAAAUAUAUAAAAAAAAAUAAUGUUGUCUAACAAAAGCAAAGGAAAACAAUCCAUACAUUAUGCAUAAUUCAUCAGAACGAUGUUUCGUUUGAAUUUGCAUUUAUCACUCGUUCAUAAGCACAUCGCAAUAUUGGAUUAGCCCUUCAUUCAUGUGAAGGGCUCAGUGCAGUACAGAAUCAGUGAACUUGCAACAAUUGAAUAAAAUAAUGAUUGCGUUUAUCAUUCAUUCAUAAGCACACUGCAAUACUGGAUAUGCCUUUUCAUUGACGUGAAGCGCUCAGUGCAAUCGCAAGUAUACAAUCAGUUAAGGAAUCGGCAAUUGCAAGUACAAAGUCUGAACCGUCAAAUGUGAAACCCACAGUAGAAUCCAUCACAGUGAAAUAAGAAAUAAAUCUAUUGCUUCAGCCUUAACUGGUGUAACCUCCAUAAUUUAUUCUCUUCCAGGCUUGCCACUGAACAGAAUCGAAAACUUGAAAGUGAAAAUGUUUGUCAACAUUAUCUGGAACCUUGUCAACUCUAUAAUUGCUUCAUUAAUCCAGAACUAACAAAAGCUACACCAUAAAUAAUGCAAAAGACCAUAAUCAUCCAUCUCAUAUUACAUUAGCGACCACGGAUUCUCAAAUAGCCGACCAAGAGAGAAUUUUUAUGUAAUUACUGAAAUUUUCAGGCCCACCAAGAGAGAAUUUUCAUGUAAUUACUGAAAUUUUCACCAGGGAACCAUUAUAUUCAAGCUUGGUUGUCCCAUUUCCACCGUCGUCCUACCUCCUCAAGAACUUUAGCACGGGCUUGGCUUUUCCUAGCUUCAUCCUCUACCCAAGAUCUAAGAAUUCGAAGAGCUUCUGUUUCAGCUUCUGCUAUUGAUUUUUUAUCAAGCAUCCCUUCCUGCUUGGUCUGCAAUUCACUUAGCAACUCCUGUAGCUUACACUGUUCAGCUACAUACAUAGACCUCUCUGAUGUAAGCCUUUCUGACAUCUCAUCAACCUCGUCCUUCAGACCAAGAAGCAGUUGCCUUUGACAGUCCAUGGCUGCCUUCUCCUUCAAAUGCUCAGCCAAAGUUUUCUCCUGCACAGUUUUUUCAUGUUCCAAAUCAUGUAAUGCAGCAAUAUAAAGUUUUUGAACCUCAAGUCCUCGGGCUCUUUCUUCAUUCAUCUUCUCAUCCCAAAACCUCUCUAUAUCUCCUUUGUCAAGCAACUCAGACCUUAUUUCCUUCAUUGCAACUUGCCUUGAUGAAUUUUCAGCUUCCAAUCUUAAUAUUUCAUUAUAAAUAGCUUCUGUCAUCCUGCCACUGGUCAAUGCCACUGCUGCUUGUGCUUUUGUCAAAGGUUUAUUUGGUUGAACCCGCCUACUCUGUCCAAAAACUUUUCUGAUUAUACUCUGGUCUCCAGCCAACAAGUCGAUAAGGAGUUCAGCUGAAGCAUCUGAACUGAUCUCCUUCACAUCCAUGUAAUCUACCUUUAUUCUUGACAUCUGUUCUGUCAUUUCUGGCAUGAACCUAUACUCUAACUGAGCUUUCCAGUUGAUUAAAUCCUGCCGAGAAAUAAACCUGUCAGGGUAAAAGAAGAAGCUUAGAUCUCCAUUUGAGCUGUCAGAACCGCAAUUGGUCCCUGAAAGCUUGCUGGGUAUGAUGCCAGCUUCUGCAAGGGCUUGGAUGGAAUCAAAGUCAGAAUCUUCAACAUUCACAUCAUCAAAUGCAGCAACUACAGAACCAGAAAGUAACAUAGAUGGAACAAGUCUAUGCUUUGGAUUCCUUUCCAAUAAUGAAUUUAGUCGGACUAACCAUCUUGCAUAUUCCCUUCUAGUGCACAAUUCCUCAGCCCUUACAUCAUCUUCAAUGAUCUUAAGUUUCUUCAAAACUGAUAGAGCUUCCAGCUGAGUAGAAUCCACAGGAACUGAUACUUUAACUCGUUCAAGCUUCUGUGCAGACACUGAAGUUAUAGUUUUCCCAUUUUCUUCAGGCAUAAAUCCUAAGCUUCCCUCUGCCACGACUGCAUUUUCAUCAGAAUCGCCAAUACUCAAGUUCUUAGCUUCAAUUUUAUCUGCUUUGCUAUCAAUUGGACUCAUCAUCCCAUGCAAAGCACGAAAGGGACUAUGAAAUUGCAACUUAAACCCUGUAAAAGUACAACAACUACGCACUUCAAUCAAUAUCCAGUGAACAAUUACAUUAAACGAACACUUCCUCCAUUACUCCAUUACCUUUUCUAGAGAGGGAGAAGUAGGCAAUUGCAGCGACCAGAGCGGCGACGCAAGUCCCACCACCAAGCAGAAUUGUAGGAAAGCCUUUCUUCUUACAACUCCGGGGAGGGGCUUCGACAACAGCCCAACCGUUAUAGCCGUCGUCGUUGGAGGAAUGACCAGGAGAGAACCAAGAGAGGUCGAGGUGGCUGUCGGCGACGGAAGCAGACAGGCGGACAAUCCUAGGGUUGUUGGAUCUGAAAAAUGAGUAUGGAGAGAGACAACGGCUUCCUAAAAGAGGGCGAGUAGAAGUGGUGCGAAGGAAGAGACAAGAAGGAGGUGAAGUAGCAGAAGAGCACAUUUUUCUCUUCCCUUUGUUUUCUGGGGAAGUGAAAUGAUCAAAAAUCAACGCAUUUAGGGAGUAGCGCGUAGCGAAGAAGAGUGAAGAGCUGAGAAUUGGAUUCGUGUCUGUUUUGCUUUGUUGUUGGUGAAAGACACCGUCAUGAAAGAAAAACGUUC
rnacentral:misc_RNA from 1 species